ACAAGUUGAGAAGAUAUUACACACUUCUCGGAUCAAACAAGUAAAAGAGAGAUUUUUGAUAAAAUGUUUGAUGGUUUGCAAAUGAGAGCUACAAAGAGAAUAUAAAGAAGAGGAGAAUGAAGGAGAAGAGAGGAGAAGGAGAACAUGCACGAUCAUGCACAAGUCCACACUCAUGCAAGCUCAUGCAAAGUAUCUAGAAAAUUACAAAGGCAUUAAAUGCAAAGUUUGAACAUAAAAAUAAGAUAAUGGGCCAAGGCAAAGUGAUGGGCCUUGGACCACGAAUUGGGCUGAUAAAGGGAGGCUUGAAAGUGUUACUUAGGCCUCAUUAAAAACCUUGUCAAGAAAACCCAUUGGGACAAAACUUGACAAGGGAAAAAGAGUGCGUAAGCAACACUUAUCCCUUUACCGAACACCUUGGGCCGUGAUCAUCACAAGGGAGAGUUGGGCCACGUCUUCUUGCUUCUUUUCUAGCUCCCUAAGUAGUCCGUUGAUUGCUUGAUUGAAUCUUUUGGAUCUUGAUCGAGUUAUAGGACCCGCCGGGACGAUUAGUACUUCCUCCGGUACAAGCUGCUCCUCGGAUUCGUGUGGUGCUUCCUCCGGUACAAGCUCUUUAUCAAGUUCCAAGUCCUUUGUGCUUUCCAUGAACACAUCA
rnacentral:lncRNA from 1 species